GAUGAACGCUGGCGGCGUGCCUAAUACAUGCAAGUCGAGCGAACAGACGAGGAGCUUGCUCCUCUGACGUUAGCGGCGGACGGGUGAGUAACACGUGGAUAACCUACCUAUAAGACUGGGAUAACUUCGGGAAACCGGAUCUAAUACCGUAUAAUAUAUUGAACCGCAUGGUUCAAUAGUGAAAUACGGUUUUGUUGUCACUUAUAGAUGGAUCCGCGCCGCAUUAGCUAGUUGGUAAGGUAACGGCUUACGAAGGCAACGGUGCGUAGCCGACCUGAGAGGGUGAUCGGCCACACUGGAACUGAGACACGGUCCAGACUCCUACGGGAGGAAGCAGUAGGAAAUCUUCCGAAUUGGGCGAAAGCCUGCCGGAGCAACGCCGCGUGAGUGAUGAAGGUCUUCGGACCUUAAAACUCUGUUAUUAGGGAAGAACAAAUGUGUAAGUAAAUAUGCACGUCUUGACGGUACCUAAUCAGAAAGCCACGGCUAACUACGUG
rnacentral:rRNA from 1 species